GACAGAGGUGCCAAGCGUUAGGCGGAAUCACUGGGCUUAAAGCGUGUGUAGGCGGAAUUGUAAGUACCUUGUGAAAUCCCACAGCUCAACUGUGGAACUGCUUGGUAUACUGCUUUUCUUGAGCCACUUAGGGGCUGUCGGAACAAAUGGUGGAGCGGUGAAAUGCGUAGAUAUCAUUUGGAACGCCAAUGGUGAAAACAGACAGCUGGGAGUGUGCUGACGCUGAGACACGAAAGCCAGGGGAGCGAACGGG
rnacentral:rRNA from 1 species